GGCUGGUCUGAGUACAGUGGUGUUUACAAGUAAUUGAUCACACCAGUUACAGAUUCGUUUGUUCCUUCUCUACUCCCUCUGCUUCACUUGAUUAACCUUUA
rnacentral:Y_RNA from 1 species